rnacentral:lncRNA from 1 species
GGUUGCAAAAUGGCGAGGGGGGAGGUAAGCUGUCUUUGCUUGGCCAUCUUGGGCUAGCAGGCCUUGCAGAGAACUACCUUUUUAGCUGAGUGAAGGGAUCAACCUGAGUUGGAGUUCUCCUAUGCUGUGGCCAGAUCCACUAGAAAUUAACCCAGAAUCUUAGCCUCUCAGUGGCCUAUCGAUAAGCCAGCUAAGACAUGUUUUAAAGUAGAAGAUUAUAAGACCUCCCCCAGGGUCCUGCAGUCAGUCAGUUAUACCCUGCCCUUCAACAUCAAGCUUUGAACCUCUACUCUAGAAAUACCUUUUAUUAUAUUCAAACUUGAAGCACGUGGACAUAGCAUGCUUUGGUGCCUUCGUCCUUGCCCCCCUCCUUCCUACACAGUUCUUUGCAAUGAGAAUAUGGGAAAUAAGGACUUAAUGUGAGAUAAGGCAGAAAGGUGAUGCCACACUCAAUCAGAAACUAUGCUACUGCUGAAGAGGUAUAUUGAGCCCUGCCUGGUUAACCUCCAGUGAGGUUAUUAGAGAAUUGGGAGAGGCUCAAAUCAGCAUCCUGCACCUAGUUAUCAAACCAUUGUGAAGUCUUGAUUCCUGGAUGGCCAGAAAACUUGUCAUUGGUCAAGAGCAACAUUAAGAUCUGCCUGUUACUCAUACUGAUGCUUCCUGCCCAGCAAGUUCAUCAGAGGGCGAGGAUGAAUUACGGUUGCCAUGAAUGUCCUUGUGAGGCAGUUGGGAAGCCUUGGCUGGAUUGUGAAGGAUAUUUGAAAAGUAUUUUAGAGUCCACCAGAUCAUCCAUGUGAGUGACCAUGCAGCAAAAGAAGGAGGGUCCUCUCAGUGAUUAAGGAUUAUGAAGUAUUAAUUCUUCCACUGAUAUCUCAAAAGGUGAUCUGGACAAAGGAACAGGUAUCUCAGAUUCCCAGUUCUCAAUCUUCCUUCCUCCUUACAAGAUACAAGCAACCUUCAACCUUCCCAGAGAUGGUCUCUGUAUAUGAAAGACAAUGGUCUUAUUAUGAAGUCGGCAUAUUUAUAGCUUGAUAAAAACUGAAAAAUCUGUAGCCUAUUUUUAAUAGUGAUAUAUAAGGAAAUAACAUAAAUAAAAAUUUGGCAACAAGAA